UACAGAGGGGGCAAGCGUUAUUCGGAAUUAUUGGGCGUAAAGGGCGCGUAGGCGGCCUGGCAAGUGGAAGGUGAAAUCCCUCGGCUUAACCGAGGAACUGCCUCCCAAACUGCUUGGCUUGAGACCGGGAGAGGUGAGUGGAAUUCCCAGUGUAGCGGUGAAAUGCGUAGAUAUUGGGAGGAACACCAGUGGCGAAGGCGGCUCACUGGACCGGUACUGACGCUGAGGAGCGAAAGCGUGGGGAGCGAACAGG
rnacentral:rRNA from 1 species